GACGAACGCUGGCGGCGUGCUUAACACAUGCAAGUCGAACGAAGUGGCGAACGGGUGAGUAACGCGUAAUCAACCUGCCCUUCAGAGGGUGACAACAGUUGGAAACGACUGCUAAUACCGCAUACUGAAGGAGGGCCUGACGUCUGAUUAGCUAGUUGGGGGGGUAACGGCCCACCAAGGCGAUAAUCAGUAGCCGGUCUGGGAGGAUGGACGGCCAGAAUGGGACUGAGACACGGGCCAGAGUCAAACGGGAGGCAGCAGUGGGGAAUGUUCCGCAAUGGACGAAAGUCUGACGGAGCAACGCCGCGUGAGUGAUGACGGCCUUCGGGUUGUAAAGCGCUGUUAAUCGGGACGCGGUACCGGAAUAGAAAGCCACGGCUAACUACGUGCCAGUAGACGCGGUAAUAC
rnacentral:rRNA from 1 species